rnacentral:rRNA from 1 species
GAUCCUGCUCAGGAUGAACGCUGACAGAAUGCUUAACACAUGCAAGUCUACUUGAAUUUGGGUUUUAACUUAGGUUUGGGUGGCGGACGGGUGAGUAACGCGUAAAGAACUUGCCUCACAGCUAGGGACAACAUUUAGAAAUGAAUGCUAAUACCUAAUAUUAUGAUAAUAGGGCAUCCUAUAAUUAUGAAAGCUAUAUGCGCUGUGAGAGAGCUUUGCGUCCCAUUAGCUAGUUGG